AGGAUUAAACAGACAUCUCUGAGGCCACGCUCUCUUGCCAAGACACAGGGCGAACUAAAUUCCUUCCCGAGGCAUUGGUAUAAAAUCUUGCUUGGGGGCUGCAAAAAAACUCUCACAGGUAAGGGGGAGGAGUGGCGAAUAAGCCGGAG
rnacentral:lncRNA from 1 species